rnacentral:rRNA from 1 species
UACGUAGGGUGCAAGCGUUGUCCGGAAUUAUUGGGCGUAAAGAGCUCGUAGGCGGUCUGUCACGUCGGCUGUGAAAACCCGAGGCUCAACCUCGGGCCUGCAGUCGAUACGGGCAAACUAGAGUACUGCAGGGGAGACUGGAAUUCCUGGUGUAGCGGUGAAAUGCGCAGAUAUCAGGAGGAACACCGGUGGCGAAGGCAGGUCUCUGGGCUAUAACUGACGCUCAUGCACGAAAGCGUGGGGAGCAAACAGG